GCCCGGGUGGUGGAAUGGUAGACACUGGGGACUUAAAAUCCCCUGCCCGCAAGGGCGUGCGGGUUCGAGCCCCGCCCCGGGUACCA
rnacentral:tRNA from 1 species